rnacentral:rRNA from 1 species
GUGGAUUAGAUACCCUGGUAGUCCACGCCCUAAACGAUGGCAACUGGGUGUUGGGGGAGCGAUUCCUCAGUACCGUAGCUAACGCGUGAAGUUGCCCGCCUGGGGAGUACGGCCGCAAGGUUAAAACUCAAAGGAAUUGACGGGGACCCGCACAAGCGGUGGAUGAUGUGGAUUAAUUCGAUGCAACGCGAACAACCUUACCUACCCUUGACAUGUCCGGAACCCUGCUGAGAGGUGGGGGUGCCCGAAAGGGAAUCGGAACACAGGUGCUGCACGGCCGUCGACAACU